rnacentral:rRNA from 1 species
GACGAACGCUGGCGGCGUGCUUAACACAUGCAAGUCGAACGAAGUGGCGAACGGGUGAGUAACGCGUAAACAACCUGCCCUUCAGAGGGGGACAACAGUUGGAAACGACUGAUAAUACCGCAUACUGAGGGAGGGGAUUGCGUCUGAUUUGCUAGUUGGAGGGGUAACGGCCCACCAAGGCGAUGAUCAGUAGCAGGUCUGGGAGGGUGAACGGCCACAUUGGGACUUAGACAAGGCCCAGACGUCUACGGGAGGCAGCAGUGGGGAAUCUUCCGCAAUGGACGGAAGUCUGACGGAGCAACGCCGCGUGAGUGAUGACGGCCUUCGGGUUGUAAAGCUCUGUUGAUCGGGACGCGGUACCGGAAUAGAAAGCCACGGCUAACUACGUGCCAGCAGCCGCGGUAAUAC